GACGAACGCUGGCGGCGUGCUUAACACAUGCAAGUCGAACGGUGAAGCGCCUUCCUUUUUGGUGGGUGUGGAUGAGUGGCGAACGGGUGAGUAACACGUGAGUAACCUGCCCCCUUCUUCUGGAUAACCGCAUGAAAGUGUGGCUAAUACGGGAUAUUCUGGGUCUGUCGCAUGAUGGGUCUGGGAAAGAUAUUGUUUCGGUGGGGGAUGGGCUCGCGGCCUAUCAGCUUGUUGGUGGGGUGAUGGCCUAGCAAGGCGGUGACGGGUAGCCGGCCUGAGAGGGUGGACGGUCACACUGGGACUGAGACACGGCCCAGACUCCUACGGGAGGCAGCAGUGGGGAAUAUGGCACAAUGGGCGAAAGCCUGAUGCAGCGACGCCGCGUGAGGGAUGGAGGCCUUCGGGUUGUGAACCUCUUUCGCCAGUGAAGCAGGCCUGCCUCGUUUGUGGGUGGGUUGACGGUAGCUGGAGAAGAAGCGCCGGCUAACUACGUG
rnacentral:rRNA from 1 species